GAUGAACGCUAGCGGCAGGCUUAAUACAUGCAAGUCGAGGGACAGCACAGGUAGCAAUACUGGGUGGUAACCGGCAAACGGGUGCGGAACACGUACACAACCUUCCUUUAAGUGGGGGAUAGCCCAGAGAAAUUUGGAUUAAUACCCCGUAAUAUAGUUGAAUGGCAUCAUUUGAUUAUUAUAGCUACGGCGCUUAAUGAUGGGUGUGCGGCUGAUUAGAUAGUUGGCGGGGUAACGGCCCACCAAGUCUACGAUCAGUAGCUGAUGUGAGCGGAUGAUCGGCCACACGGUCACUGAGACACGGGCCCGAAUCCUACGGGAGGCAGCAGUAAGGAAUAUUGGUCAAUGUACGCAAGUCUGAACCAGCCAUGCCGCGUGAAGGAUUAAGGUCCUCUGGAUUGUAAACUUCUUUUAUUUGGGACGAAAAAGGGCCUUUCUAGGUCAACUGACGGUACCAGAUGAAUAAGCACCGGCUAACUCCGUGCCAGCAGCCGCGGUAA
rnacentral:rRNA from 1 species